UUUUUUUUUUUUUUUUUUUUAAUGUAUGCAAAGAAAGAAAUAAAUGAUCAGUCUAAUAAGUAGCUGAAGGAAACUUUCGCAAGUAACAAAUUAAUUUCAAUGUUCAAACUUCCAACCACUACCUUCAUAUUGCAGUAAACAACUAAAAAUUCCACCAAGAUAAUAAUUCAUGUUAAAGAAUACCCUCCUAUAAGAUAGUACAAUUAUUGGCAUCUCCUCCGAUCCAAAACGUAGAAGUCGAAGUCAAUUCCCACCGCUUACGGGAGUCGCUACUGGCAAACAAAAAGCCUGGCAUCAUGGACAGUCCGUUUCAAACACGGGGAACAGGAGAAUCCUCCCAAGAUUCGCUUAAUCUAGACUUCUACGCUCCAGACAGAAUUACUGAAGUCAAGAGUGGAGGGAGGGGAACGGAGCCGGGGGGAUGAAGACAAGUCAACAGGGCACGUAGGAGAGAAUUCAUCUAGACAUGCUUAACUCGACCCCGUUAAUCCAAUCAAGGAUUAUAAAAUGCAACAAUUACGCGCUACUAAUUUCAUCAAAUGGCCCUUUUUUUUUUUAUAAGGGGGGAGGUAUUUCCCCUCGUCACACUCUUCUACCAAAUUUUGUGUGUUCAAGGGCACAAGGGAUGCCACAAGUCACGAAGCUGGAGCAAAGCGCUGCUUCACCAGCCAAAAGGUACGGAGAACAGAGUGAUUAAAAGUCAGUAUUUGCGAUAACCAUGCAUGCAAUUGAGACCAUUAGCGAGCAAUCCUAAUGGUGAAGGAAGACGAGGUCAAAAGAUGAAAGUGUUGUACAUCUCAAGAAUGAGCUAAUGGUCUCCCUAAUGCAUUUUCAUUAGAUUGAAAACUGAUGAGUUUACAAGAAGACUGACAAGCACAACACCUCAAGUCCCAUUAAGCACCAUUCUGGUAACUUAGCUCUGUUAUGAAACCAAUCCCAGUCAAUUUGCAUCAUCAUCAUCUUUCUCAUUUCCAGCAGUUGCAUUGACACCAGAAGUCAGCUCGGCUUCAACUGACAUGGAAGGCAACCUCUCAUAUACUUUAGAACCAAAUGGAAGAAGCUUAGACUGCCUUGUAAGAGUUUGACUUAUCUUCUCAUAGUUCCACCUUUGCUGAACGUAGACCAUAACUGCUAGAACAGCGGCCGUGACUGGUAUUGCAAUGUCCCCGAACUUGGAGAAGAAAUCAAAUCGGGGGUUGACAAACUCGUAUUCCUCGGAGAAAUAGGGGUUUGGAAUGGGAGACCUCACAAAAUCGUAUGCAUGGGGAAGCAGUCUUACUGCUGUUAUCCCAAUGUAGUAAAACUUUCUCAGUGGUUUACAACGUAACUGCCAAAUAUAGUUGCCAAUUACUUGGGGGAGGAGGAAAAAGUCUUGAAUAAGACCCAUAUACUCCUGCAGUUCAGUUUCCCAUUCACGUAGUGUUUGGGAUUUGCCAGAUGAAUCUAUAAACUUCUCAGUCUGAAGAGGUCUGUGGCUUGUAGUGAGAGAAUGGACAACCAGAACAAGGGCAUAACCGAUGACAUGCAUGGUCAAGGUGGUUAGCAAUACCCUCUUGUCAUUUGGUACGCGAUGUGGUUCAAGAGGAGCCCUUGUCAACAAUCUGAUUCUCGAUCUCCACACUUUUUGACAGAGCCUCAGAAUAAAUGAAAAGGCUACAAGCACAAGAAGCUUCACCGUGUAAUCAAUUACACGUAUUGCCUGGCUCUUCUCAAGGUCAUAACCUGGGUUCUCAUAAGAUUCUGAAGCCAUCUUUUCAAAUAUGGCCUCUGCACCCGUUAUUAGUGGAAGGCUGUAACCAACAGCUUGGACGCCUAGCAUGACAAGAGAGAUGUAAGGAACAGAUUCCACAUUGUCCCUGAUGUAGAAUAUCUGGCUUACUAUGCAAGCGAUUGCAAAGGAAAGUGUUAGGAUGCGAAGGCUCCCUUCAACACCUCUACGAGAAAGGAUAUCUUCCCUCUGCCCCCGAUACACAACAGGAAAAGUUUGGAGCUUGAUUGGUCUAAAAUAGAGGGGAUCAUCAUCAUUCCUUUUGCUAGAUAUGGAAAUCCUAGCAGUUGGAUUAACUAACCAACGGGCGGUAGUUGGUGGAUAUGAUACCAUAACUUCAAUUAGACAAUCCGAUCCAGCUUCAAGAUCCAUGCUUUCAUACAGAAUGUUCCAUGAAGCUCGAACAUCUCUGCAUCCAAUUAAAUACAUCUUUCCAGCAUGUUGAUUGUACAGCCCCUCCACAGAAAGUACUGAGAAAUUGUCAAAAGAUUUUCCACUUAGAGCAAUUUCAGCAGAAACAUUUAGGAGGAGCUGCUUUUCUGUGUAUUCAGCUUUAUCCUGAUAGGGAUUCUCCUGUUCAGUGUUUGAAACAUUUGGUGACCAGUUACGCCCCAACAAAGGACCAAGAGAAACAAUUUCCAUUUGGAAAUCUGUCCUUGUGAGAAAGGAGCUGGAAUAUGAAUCUGGAACUGCAGGUAUAUGAAGAGUGAGGUCUUCAGAAAGAAGAGAGAGACUGACAAGGAAUGAUUCUGUGGCUUCUAACUUGGGAUACUCCAGUAAAGAUUUCUUAACUAUAUUACCAAAGUUGAAGGGUUCACUUUUCUCUAAGACUGCACCAGCUGCAUUAAUUUUUGUGUAUUUAUAGUAUGGACGAGCAGCUGUGAACUGAUCCCACAACUCUGCAGGGCGCACCAGCUUCUCAAAUGAUAGAGGAAAGUAAGAUCCAGCUCCUCCAUCAACACUAGAGAAAGUGCCCACUAUGAUGCUCCUUUGUUUUAUGGAAAAUGAGAUAGGAAUAUAUAAGCAUACUCGAGAACGACAGGCAGUGCGUUCACUAUCAAGCAAUCCAAGGCAGCCAACCAUGCAAAGUUGUCCGCUGGAAGAUUUCCAAAUUCCCUCAGCAGAUAGUGUCAUAUUGUUAAGACCAGUUCUUUCUGCUGCAAUGAACUUCUUAUCAAAUGGUGGAACUGCUCUGAACACUGAAGAUAUCCUUCUGAAGCCAGGAUUGUCAGCCACUUCCGGACAUCGGAAAUCCUGAAUGACAAGCUUAACGUCUUUGAAGCUCCCAUCUGUCUCCUUUAUCCGCUUAUCUGAUUUGAAGGGUCCCAACUUGCUGCAAAACUCAUCCGUUCCGUUGCAUCUCCAGUUCGGCACAAUAGUUAAAGCUUCUUGUUUGGUAUACUUCUCAAGAAUGUUACAAAAAUCAAGUCCUCUAUACACAUCAAAAUCACCAUUCACCAGAGUAUCUUUAUAUGGGUAUGGAUCACAUGCCCUUGACACGAUCUUUUCAGAACCAAACUCGUAGUUUGCAGAAGCAGCCAACCAAGAAGACAUGCUAAUUUCAUUAAAAAAUUUUGGAUUUGAUUUCAAAUUUAAGCUCUUCAUGCUUCCCCUUAUUCUUCUGUUUACCAAAGUGAAUGUCCUCGGAUAACGAAGCACAAGCAGAAUUUGAUCAUCUUGCACGAGUGGGGGCUGAUUAGCAUAACCAGAUUCCUCAACCCAUGGCCAUGGCUCAGCAGAUUCAGGCUGACGAGAUGGUAACACUGUAUGCCCCAACAAACACAUAACUCUUUCGGCCCCAUUCUUCUCUGAUUCAGUAUAAACUCCUUGGAAUGAAAUAGAGAGCUGAGAAUGACCAGGCCACAUAUCAAAAUGAUGACUUCCCUCAUAGGGCGGUUCCAUAAAUAAUCCAUCCGAUGUUAUCCCCAUUAGCAAUGCACCGCUGACACCAAUCCAUUUCUUAGAUCGACGAACUUUAUUAACAUCAGUAACCCAAAAAGAAACCAACUUUGAGGGAGAUCCAAGACUCAGUGAGCCAUUUAUUGCAAGAUCUCUAUCAUCAAAUGGCAUAAUGGGAGCACCAUUUGACUCCUGCCACCAAUCUCCAUUCACAAAGGAGAGCUCUUCUCUUAAACUAAAAACCAUAUCAUCAGCAGGUCUUAAAUUAGAAGCAGAAGAUAAAACCAAGGAGCAUUCUUUCUUCACCUCAUCCAUCCUAUCAUAUCUGUAAGUCAUUGAAUUUCCACUCCUGCUCCUACCACCAAACUCUCCAUCAACAAGGUAUGCUUUUGCAAAACCAAAGCACAACAAAACUAGCAACCCUGUUAAAAUCCAACCAUCAACUCCAAAACACUUCAUCUUUACGCUAAAAUUACGAUACCCCUCAAAGCACUCCUUUACAACUUCUAAUCUGAAAGAAUCCCGCUAACCAAAUAUUAAUUUUCUACACCACAACAAAUACCUCCUUUCGAUUUCCCAUACGAAUAAAAUAUAAGUCUGCAGUUACUGAUGCAAAUGCAAAGGGAAGUACAUGAUAGUACCAGAAAUGAUCAAGAAAAGCAAAAACAAAAUUAUGAGCACGAGAAGGACAUUAUCAGAGGACUAGUGUCUGAAUGCUGAAUGAUCUUUGCAUUUGCAACUAAUUGAUGCAGUUACCUGUGAAGUGGGUUGUCCUUUGAUUCUUCAUCUACGGACUUCUUUGAGGUGAAUCCUUGGAUCUUUGGAUUGAAGAAGAGUGGACUUGAGAAAUAGGGAAGCGAUUUGGUGAUGGAAAGUGUGAACUUGAAGCCAAGAAGAGGAGUGAUUGUGACACUGAGAAGUCAACCUAUUUCUCUACGCAGUUUUAGUAAAAUCACAGUAGUAGUAUCGAUAAAUGCAAUAUGAAUUUGUAUAAUCUCCGUAUCAUUGAAUAUUUUACAUACCUCAAGAAACAAAACACAUUUGACUUUUAGGAGUGCUUGUAUUUAAUGUUUUGCUCAUAAAAAUUUGGGUUAAUUACAUUUACCUCCCCUGAGGUUUGACCAUAUUACCAAUCAAUCCCUAUAAUUUGUCCAAAUAACGGUCUCACCCUUUGAAUGAUCAAACAUUUAACAAAAACCCCCCUUAAUACCGAAAAUGCCCUUAUUGAGACCAUGUUGCAUUAAAAAAAGAACAUAUUUUUAUUUUAUUAACCCUGAAGCAAUCCAAAAAAAUAGAAAAAAGUUUUUCCUUAUUAUUUUAUAAAAACCAUAUCUUUGCUUCCAUAAAUAGUUUUGAAUCAAUAAUUAUUUUAAAUCUUAAAAAUGAAUAUUAAAAAUUAGAUAAAUUGAAAGAAAAAUAAAAAAGAAGCAAUUAUUUUAAAUUCUCAAGUAUGGUUCGAAUUUGUGGUUCAAGGCAUGUUGCGGAGAGCACAGGGCAUGUUUUCCUCAAUUUGAACCAUACUUCAGGAAUUAAAAUAAUUUCUUCUUUUUUUAUUUUUCUUUCAAUUUAUCUAAUUCUUAAUAUUCAUUUUUAAGAUUUAAAAUAAUUAUUGAUUCAAAACUAUUUAUGGAAGCAAAUAUAUGAUUUUUAUAAAAUAAUAAGGAAAAAUUUUUUCUAUUUUUUUGGAUUGCUUCAGGGUUAAUAAAAUAAAAAUAUGUUCUUUUUUUAAUGCAACAUGACCUCAAUAAGGGCAUUUUCGGCAUUAAAGGGGUUUUUGUUAAAUGUUUGAUCAUUCAAAGGGUGUGACCGUUAUUUGGACAAAUUACAGGGAUUGAUUGGUAAUAUGGUCAAACCUCAGGGGAGGUAAAUGUAAUUAACCCUAAAAAUUUUUGUAAGAUUAGCAGCAUAAAUAGUUUGUGUUCGAUGUUUUAUUAUAUCGCACAAAAAAAUAAAUUUUUUUUGGGUCAAUUUUUAUGCUUGUUUCUUUCUCAUCUCACUUUUUAUUUUCCGUUUUCUUUUUUUUUUUUUUGGUUUUUUAAUUUUGUGUGUCUGAAAUCCAAAGCAAAUGAAAUAAUUUUUUUUGUCACAAUUUCAAAUUAAUUCUGGGUUGUGUCCCAAACAGUAAACAGAUGCGUCUGACUCCGAUCCUGUCCAGCGGAGAAACUCGUACUCACAUGUCAUAGACCCGGAAUCUACGGGCGAAGUUGAUGAGUUUCUGAGACGGAUAAGGUGCAUCAAGAUUCAAGAUAGAAAUAUUUGAAGUUGUUGUAGGUACAAAAUAACUCAACCAAAAGCACAAAACAGCAAAUAGGUUUGUAAGGAUGAUGACACACAAUUUUAUCAACAAAACUAGAGGGGGAAUAUCUGCGCAUUGCACGGGUGUUUGGCACUUGUGAUUAAGAAAAAUUUUUUAGAUACUUGUGGUGAGCAAGUAAAUAAAAAUAAACAUAAAAUAAUAGCGCAGAUUAAGUAAUACUAAAGAAAUAUAGCUUCAAUUGAAAAUCAUUAUGAAACGUUGAGUGUAAAGGCUAAAAAAAUAAUGACAUCUAUGUAUUUUGAUAAUUUACGUGGAGAUUUAUUUAUGCUGCAUUGGAAGAACUUCUUAAAAAAGUAGGGAAUCGUAUGACUGUUUUAGCAUCUAUCUUUGUUAGUUUUGCCUUCCAUUAUUCAGUAGGCUAUGGUCCUGCAUCGCUUCUUAAGAAGUUCGGAAGUCGAAAGGGAGAAAAUUGAAGAAGGUGAAGGAGGAAGAAUUGAAAGAGAUGCUCAAACAAUAAUUUAGCAGCAUACCCACAUUUAUUGAUCGUUUAAUUGGAAUGUAAAUAGUGUUUUAUUACCAGCAGAGAAGCUGUUUCAAAUGACUGAAUUUCAGACAUAUGAUCGCUAAAAUUAAUCCACAUUCCGCAAAUAUUGAGAUGUGUCUAUAAAUACAAGCUUUAAAUGUACAAACAUGGGGAUUUUAAUAUAAAAACAUCCAAACACAUGCUGCAAUCAGUUGUACUAAAAGGUUAAAAAAAGUAAUAUAUUUUUUAAAUUUCCAAAAUGCCCCCACCUAUGCGGUUGAAAUUCAACUCUCUGUUUGACCAAAACUCAGUCUUAUAUAGUAUAAGGAAAUUUGGAUAUAUUUAUCGAGGAUAAUUUGAAAAUAUUGGUGAAAAAAUUCUCAAAAGUUUCAACCAUAUUUUUUUACGAAGGCACAUUAAAAUGUACUCCAAGAACACGUAAAUAAAUUACUAGCAUACUUAUAAAUUUGAACGUUACUAAUAACAUGCAGUAUUUUGGGCAAAGUGGAGAAGACAAUUAGGAUACAUGCAUCACAAUUUUAUUUUAUUUUUUUCGAGUAACAGAAACAUUUCACUGAAGUAAAUAUGCACCAAUAUCUCCUGGAUACAGAUGACAUUUCAAGUGACUACCAAAGAGAUCUGUAAAAUGUUGCAUAUUCACCUACAGUAGACUAGACUCAACUUCUAUUUAAACUUUGAAAAUGUUGCAUCCACUCUGCUGCACAUGAGCUGUGAGAGCAAAAAGAUAGGCUUAUCAUUAUGAUCACAAUCUUUUCAAACCUUGAGAAAACUUCUGUGCUGCUUCAAGUUUCAGUGGGAUGGAAGUAUGGAUUGAAGACAGGAUCUCUCAUGUAAUCGUAGGUCCGAAGAAGGAACCUUAAGAGGGUCAAUCCAAUGUAGUACACCUUACUCAGGGGCUUAACUUGUAUCUGCCAUAUCAAGUUUCCCAUUAUCUGGGGAAGCAAAAACCAAUCUUGAACUACGCUCCAGUAUUCUUGCAGUAUGGAUUCCCAAUCAGUCGCAUUGAGGUUUGCAGCUGCUGCAGACAUUGUUUUGUCAAUCUUGAGUUCCCGAAUCACCAGAAUAAAAGCAACGCCAAUCAUGUGAAUUAUCCCACUUGCAAAGAAAACCCGAAUUUCCCUUGGUCCGUGAUGUAAAGGUGAUAACAAACUUUGAGUACGUUGUCUUGAUUUCCAUACCUUUCGACAGAGUCUUAGAGCUAGUACAACCGCGACCAAGAGGAGGGAUUUCUUGAUUAUUUCCAGCAUUUUGAAGUGCAUGCUUCUAUCCUUGUACGGAUAUUUGCUGUGGUAGUGAUAUCCGCUCCCCUUGAUCAGAACUGUGGUAUUCAUGACCAGGGGAAGACAAUAGACCAGAAAUUGAAUGGUCAGCAUCAACAAGGAAAUGAAGGGAAUGACAUAAUCGUUCUUCUUCAAGUACCAUAAUUGGCUCAAUAGGCAACUGAUUGAGCCUAGAAGUAUUGACACACGUAAAAGCUCCUCAAAGUUUCGACGAAAUCGUACCUCUUUUGAGUUGUCAGUGUAUGGAAUCAGAAAUGUCUUUAGCCUGAUUGGCCUAAAGUACAAGGGAUCCUCUGCAUUCCGGGCACUGGAAAUUGAGAUCUUAGCUGUAGGAUUUCUCAACCACCUGGCGGUCUCGGGGGAGUACUCUAUCAUCACUUCUAUCAAGCAGUCCAUCUUGCUUUCAAGAUUCAGAUUCUCAUACGCAAACCUCUCAGAAUGCUGCAACUGGAAGUCGAUUUCCUUGCAGCCUAUAAGAUACAUCUUUCCUCCAAGUUGAUCAUACAGUCCCUCAAGGUAGAUUUUUGAUAUAUGACCAUAGUUUUCUCCACUAAGGGUGAGAUGUGCUGACACUUUCAGAAGCAGCUUCUCAUGAGUAAAAGCAAAAUUAUCUCGAUUUCCAGAAUACAGCUACCCCAUUAUCAUGCCUUGUUAAUUCGGACCAAUAACGUCCAAAUAAUUUGCCCAAAGUGAGUAUCUCGAAGUAAACGAGUGUCUCUGGCAAUUUGUGUUCAUGAUUAUGAUCUGGGAGAGCAUUGACAUGAAAAGACAGCUUACUGGACAGAGAAGACAGCAGAGUCAAGUUAUCACGAUCUUCAGUGCUUGGAUACUUGAAGAUCAAAUCAUGAACCACGGUGCGUAUGUUGAACUUCUUGCUUCUCAUCCAAAAAUCAUUGGCCAAAUCAAUCUUGGAGUACUUGUAUGAUAAAUAAGACCUGCUAUAGUCAUGAUACCUGUUCCAGAUAUCAGAAGGAUGGACUUUCUUUUCAAAAAGCAAAGGGCUAAACGAAUCUGUCCCUUGAAUAUUAGUGAUAGUGCCCAUGAGAAUGCUCCGCUGAGUGAUUGAUAAUGUGACAGGUAUUACUAAGCUUAUUUUAGAAUUGCACCUGUUUAUAUCGUUCUCAAGUCCAACACAGCCAAUCAUGCACAGCUGCCCAUAUGAAGGAUUCCAAGUUCCUUCUGCAGAGAUGGUCAUUCCAGAGAUACAACUCCAAGCCCCAGAAUAAUAAACAUCCUCCAAAGGAGAUAUGACUCUAAAGAAUGCAGAAACCUUUGCAGCUCUGAGCUUACUGAUAUUGUCCCCUAAAAUGCAACGAAGAUCAGUCAUCAUCAGCCGAAACUUAUGAAAGAUGUUGUCUUUGCUUUCAACCUUCUCACCGAGUACAAAAGGCCCCAAGUUCUUACAUAUGUUGCUACUGUUGCAAUUUUCCACUGCAAUAUCAAAUUUUUCAGAAGCAAAGUUUUGAAGGACUCUAUAGAAAUGGUUCCCAUGAUAUACAUCACCUCUCUUGUCUGACAAUUCGUGUUGGUACAAGUUCGAGUUGCAUGCUUUUGAGACAAUCUUCUUGGAGAUGAACUGAUAGCUGGAGUCAUAGGUUUGAUGACUGAGCCGGGAAACGAUACUGAUGUCGUCAAAAUAUUUGGGGUCUGACCGUCUGGUCAAACUUCUCAGGUCACCAACUAUUGUCCCGCUGGUCAAAGUGAAACUCUGAGGAUAUUGAAGAACAAGCAUAAUUCGAUCAUCUUUGACAGGAGAAAAUUCGCGGUUAUUCUUGCAGCCACAAUUCAAUGACCACGUAGAAAAAUCAGGAGGACUUUCUGAAAAAGGAGAUACUGAAUUUCCCAACAUGCACAUCAAACCCUGCCCUCCCUUGUCUUCAGACUCAACAUAAUGUCCUUCAAAAGCAAUUGUUAGCACAGAGUAUCCAGGGCUUUUAUGAAACAUAAGAUACCAAGUCUGCGGCAUGCUUGGCAAUGUGUGCUGUUCCUCGUAAUGCCUAUAGACAACAGUCCACAAACGCCAAUGGCAUUGUUACUUGGAUGGGAAAGAUUAAAUCCCAUCACCCAAAACGAAGCUAGCUUUAGAAGUGAUCCACUGCCACUAAAGUUCAUUGGCAUGUCACUGGAGUCAAAUGGCAUCAGUGGUACUCCACUAGCCUGUUGCACCCAAUCUCCAUUUUGGAAAGAGAGACCCUUGGCAAUUUCAUAGAACUUUUGAAUUCCAAGUUGAGCGUUUGAAGCUGAAGAUACAACAGGGGAGCAUUCUCUCUUGACUUCCACAAGGCGUUCAAACUUGCAAAUCCUUUUAAGGUCAUCCAACUCUUCUGAAUCCUCGUAUGCUGGUCAUAAUGAACUUGUUGCACCAACCAAAAAUACCAAAAUGAAUGGCAAAACUAGUCUAAUGUGAGAGGAAAACUGGAAGUCCAUUCUUGAUAAUCUAAACUCCUCUCUGUUUUAGUGUUGAAAACAAAUUCGGCUUCAACUUACAGGAAAUGAAAUUCCUUCUUUUUUUUGGGUGGAAACUAUCUGAAGGUUUUGCUAUAGAAUGUUAGCAGACUGCCAUGUUAUAUAGAGAUAAAGUCGCAUCAAAGUCCAAAAGAGAACUUCUAAAAAGAUCACAUCUUAUUCGGACAUAGCAAUUCAGCUUUUUGCAGAAUUGAAGAACAUAGUGCCGGAUACCCUAAUGGUAAGUUUCAUCAAGUCUAAAACAUCUUUGUCAACUAUCUUUGUGAUAUCAGCCGGCCUGAUUGUUCCUGUUAGUUUAUGGUUUAAGGUACUGUGUCAUAGAGGUUCUCGUUGUCAGUACUGGCACCAAGUUGGAUUCUGAGCAAGCUUCCAAAGUAAUUGCAAAUUAGGUAAUUAGAGAAAACCUCACCAUCCCAUUUUGCCAAUAAAUGAGAUCUUCAUCAAGAUCAAAACCCCAGACUGCAAGUCGCUGUCCUUGGAAUCGACAAAUUUUUUACAAGCCAACUUGCUACUUUUUUAAAGCAAGGGGUGUGAUUUAAGAAAUGAGGAAGGGGAAGGAAGGAAUUGAAUCCAAAACCCUCUCAUUUCUGAAAAAUAUUUACUGAAAGCUUGAACUUACUAGAACUUAACAAAAAUGUUUCUAAAAGUUGGAUGAAGGAAUGCAAACUCUACCCAAAGAAAAAAUGAUAAACGAAUGCAAACAAAACAGGUGAACCACAUGCCGAUUGCAGCACAAAUCGAGCACUGCCGCAUGCUCCUACGCUGACUACAUGUAUACUAUAUGUUGAAUUGCUUUAACACAUCUGAAAGAAAGUAGUUUUUCCGCCAAUUUCCUAAUUUUGUACAGAAGAAAUUUAAUUAAGCUGAAUGCACUAGCCAUGAAUGCUCCAGGAAAAGAUUUCGCAUGCUUAACCAUCCCAAUUUACUCUGAAUGCGCUUAGUUGGUGAAUAGUCCUCUUCUCAGCUUCUCAGUUUCUAUAUUUGGUAGUUUGAGGCUGCCGGAGUAAUUAAACUAGGAGAGUAGUCCAUAUUAUUAUAGUAAUCCAAGUAGAUUAUCACAUUACAACAAGAGUACAAUAUACUAUAGAACAUGAACCAUGGUGAAUAAAGCUAUAGAUAUGAUCUAAGACUGCCUCAGAUACUCCGUCUAACUUGUUUGUCCAAGUCCCCAAUAAUUGCAGACGGCGCUAAAUUGAUUAUGAGACAAUCAACAACAAUGCUUCAAGUGGUCGGACGGUAGAAAAUUUCUGAAGAACUCCUACGGAUUGGGGGCUGGAUCCUCCUCCUCUGUGCUAACAGAUACAGACUUGGCCUUAAAGAAGCCAAAAUUAGAGCAAUCCAUCUGCCUCAGCUUCAGCAGCAAAAACAGCACAAUACCGCAAACGAACCCCAAGGCUGCACUGGACCCAGUGAGGGAUACAGCAGCACAAACCAGCAUCACAAAAGAUUCUUCCUUCGAGUUCAUAUCCCUUGAAGCCAUGGCCAACUCUAUCCCAGCAAAUAACAGCAGCACCCCAAGAAUCCCUAUUGGAAAUUGACUUAUAACCUUGACAAAAUAAUUUCCAAAAACCAAUCCAAGCAACAACUUCCCCAAACCCAAAAACACCACUGACGCACCAGUCCUCCCACCAAACCUGUACUGCCCAGCCAGUCCACCUGCCCCGUGGCAACAUGGCAUUGCGCCAAACCAGCAUCCCACUAAAUUCAUCAGCCCAACACUUACCGAAACCCCUGUAGCCGAUACAUCCAUCCCAGGGAACAAAUCUGUCGAUAAUUUACACACAGCAAUAACUGAAUUCAAUACAGACAAUGGGAUUUGGGGAAUUGCACCUCUCAAGAACCCAGUUUUCCAGUCUUCCCAGGUGAUUUUCAGAACGUGAAUCUUUGACGGGCCGAGUUUAAUUUCAUGGACAAUUGAAGGGUCGCGAAUAAAACACAAAAUGAAACCAAGCAGAAAUACAAGCAGAGCUGCUGGAAUAGCUGAUAAUAUUCUUAACCUACGAUGCCUUCGAAUUCUUAAUCGAUUAUAAGCGUCGGGGUUGGUCCUCAACAUCGCUUCAUCCUCUUCAGGGACGCCGCCGUCUCCUGUUGUAAGUAUAAGAAACAGUAAACAAAACAGAGCGAGGACGAGACCGUCGAGGCCCAGCCAAGAACGAGGGCUGGUGGAUUUGGAGGAAGUAGUGGUGGAGAAAUCUUGAUCGUAGCGAAUAUAUUUGAUUGCUGAGAAGGCAAAGGAGAGGCCUUGAGAGAGCUGGACACCCCGGACGACCGGGAGGGGGAUCCAGUGGUAGAUGAAGGACAUGAGGCCGGUGGCGCCAAGGAUGAAGAGGGUGCCGGCUGUGCAGAUUCCGGCGGCGGCAAUUUGGGAGACAGUGAGGUGGGGCGUCUCUGAAACGGCGACGGCCGCGAUGGAUUUCAUGGGCUGGACUGGCAUGGGGAUGCCGAAGAGGAGGCCGGUGAGGAUAUUAUAGAUGGCAGUGAAGAUGAGGGUUGUGCUGAGGUCGAGGUUGCAGACUAGAGUGAGUGCCAAGACGAUGGGGAUGUAGGUGCCCAAGUCGCCGACGGCGCCACUGAGCUCGGAGGACAGAGAGGUUUUAAGGCGGACAGAAGCGGUCCAUGAGCGGGGAGUGCAAUGGUUGCGCCACCACUGACGGGGGCGGACAAGGAGGGGUGUAGCGUUGUCAGUUGCUUCGCCGGCCAUGGUUGGGCAACUGCGCAAUAAGCCAAAAAUUAAAACUGCUACUGGCAGUAGCUACUGGUAGUAGUAUUUGACACUCAUCAUCCUACCAAUGAUAGGAGCAAGUGGCUUGGUAACCGGGCCCAGUCAUCCCAUCAGAAUAAUUCAGCACCGCUGAAAAAGAAGAAACUUUUGAUAUUUUUGACGUCGGCGUGCAAAAUUGUCUUUGGAUUAAUCGACCUUUGGCUUUUGGGAGGGUUACAGUAAUUUGUUCAGCUGCCUGCCUGAGGAGUCGUAGACUCCACUCGACGAGCAUGAUUGAGCGAGACGGGAGGAGACUGAGGGCUGGCUUUGGCCUUUGGGUCAUUCAAGUAGUUAAGGUUCGAGGUGUGCACCAACCAACAAGACACGAUUACUGCAUACUCCGUACCAAAAAAUGAGAAAUUCAAAUGCAAUCAUUGCACCUGAGAAUUUUUUUUUUUUAAAGCUCUUUGUGCACUAGAUCCUAAUUCCCAUGAACUAUUAAGCUAUGUUUUCAGAACCGGACCGGAUAGCGACUCGGCCAAGGUCAGGGGUCAGGGGUCAAUGGGUUCGACCGGGGGUCGAUAGGGGUCGAACCGGAUGACGUCAUAAAUAAAAAUUAUUUAAAAAUUAAAAUAUUAUAUAUAUCAUAUCUAAUAAUAUAUUGAUAUUAAUAAAGGUAUAUUCAUACAUAUUUGAUGUUUCAAAUAUAUUUAACAAGAAAAUACAAAGAAAUUAGAACAAUCAAGUAGCAAUUUAUAUUAUUUAAUAAAUAUUAACAAGUUUAGAAUUAAAAUUAUGAAUUUAAUUGAAAAAUAACAUCAAAUUGUAGGACAAUAUUUAUAAAGUAUCAAAUAUUUGAGGUAUACGAAUAAGUUUUAACAAUUUAGGGGGCCAAAACAUAAUAUUAUAAAGUUUGAAUUUUUUUUUUAAAAAAUUACUGUUGAACCGGAAAAACCGGGUUUUUCCCGGUCAAACCCGGUCAAACCCGGAUUUUGACCGGCUUUGACCGAGUUUUAAAAUUUCCGGUUUUCUAAGUUGACUCGGACCGGCUACCUGGCCGGUUCCCGGUUCGACCGGUUCGACCGGCCGGUCCGGUCCGAGUUUGAAAACAGAGCUAUUAAGUUGGACUCCUCCUCCCUCACAAUGUAGAUAGAUUGUUGUCAUUAUAUAUAUAUAUAUAUACUCCCUCCGUUCCACUUUAACAGUCCUAUUCUUUUUUUCACGUAGUUUAAAAAAAAGUAAUUAAUUUUAUUAAAAAAGUAAAUUUAGAUUGCUAUUUUUCUAAAAUAGCUUCGCAUUAAAUAGGGUACAAUUUUAUGGGAACUUAAAUUGAUGGUAAAAAAAGAAUUAACUCUCAUUAAAUAUGGUAGGUUUAUAGUAACAACAACUUACAUUAAAUAAGAGUAUUUUAGAAAAAUUAAAAUACAACUACAUUCUUUAAUUGGAAAGUGGACUACAAUUUAGAACAAACGAAAAAAGAAAACAAAACUAUCAAAGUGGGAUGGAGGGAGUAUAUAUUAAAAAAAAACUGCAUUCAAAUUCAUUUAUGCCACUAUCUAUUUCUUUAGCGGCAAGAGCAAAAAAAAAGUAUAGAGAGAGAAGAAAAAAUAUGUAACGUUAUUGGCAUUCUAUUUUUUUCUUGUGUUUUUCACAAAAAAUUAAAAUAAUUAAAGUGUUAUUAAGAAUGAUAUAAAGCAUUGAUAUGUUUGACGAAACUUUUAAAAGACCCUUGCAAGUUUAUAUUAAGAAUGAUGUAAAGCUUUUUUUAUGUACAGUUAAUUAACCACUAUAUUAUUACGAUUUGAAUUUGUUAUUAUUGUCAUUAAAAAUUAAUUUAUUUUAAGCUCUAGACAUAUUGAUUUAAGUGAUGUAUGAAAUAAUCUGUGCACAUAGAUAACAUAUACUUUGUUAUACUUUAUUAUUAUCAUUAUUACUUUCAGGAGCAAAAAGUAAAAAAAAAACUUGAAAUAAAUAACGAAUAAGUUUAAGAAGAUUAAAAUUAAUAAAUAGAUAAUAAUAGCAAAUAGAAAAAAGUAGUUAAUCACAUGAGAAAAUGGAGAAAUUUUGAAAAAUAGAUAAAAAAGAGAGACAAGUCGAAAAACGGCAAAACAGAAGAAAAAUAAAUAAAAUAAUAAUUAAUAUGAAACGAAUACUUUUGUCCUAAAAUAUAAAGCAGAGGGUAAAGUGACUAUUUAUUGAGUUGAGACGAGCAAUGUUUUCAGAACCGGACCGGACCGGCCGGUUCGACCGGUUGGACCGCGAACCGGCCAUGUCACCGGUCCGGUCUAAUGCUAAAGCCGGAAGUUCAUGGAGAACCGUUGAAAAUCGGACGAACCGGACGAACCGUGAACCGGCGGUUUUUUAAAUUCUUCAACAAAAUAUCAAGAAUGGUAAAGAAUGGUAUAGCUAAGAUUUGGACCGCGAACCGGCCAUGUCACCGGUCCGGUCUAAUGCUAAAGCCGGAAGUUCAUGGAGAACCGUUGAAAAUCGGACGAACCGGACGAACCGUGAACCGGCGGUUUUUUAAAUUCUUCAACAAAAUAUCAAGAAUGGUAAAGAAUGGUAUAGCUAAGAUUUGAACCUGGGUCUCUAAGUUUGGAUAUGACAAUCUCACCGCUAGACUGUAGUUAAGUUUGUUGAGAAUUCUACUUGACUAAAAAAUAUAUUAAAACAUCAAGUUCUUCUCUUUUUUUUUUUCAAUUUUUUCUUCUUAACCAUUUUUAACCCAAAUAUCCACAACAAGAUUUUCUCAAGUCUUCACCAUUAUUAUCAGGUUAUUAUCUUUAGCAGAUUGUAAACAAGUUGAAAAUUUCAACUUUUCUUGUUUUCCAACAUCUUAGUAAGUUUAAUUUUUUCUUUUCAAGGUUUUUUUUCUAUAUUAUUAUCUUUAGAAGAUUUUUUGCAUUUUCUUUUUCCCUCAUUUUUGUUUUAUUUUUAUUUGAUUAAUUAAGGAUGAAAUUUUUGCAAAAGCAGUGCACAUCCGUGUAGGAAUUGGGUAGGAAUUACAAAUAAUAACAUUGGGCUGGUCAAAAAUAUGGUAGUUGGCACAUAAUCGAAGCUAUUGAUAAUUGAAUUUAAAAUAAUUAAUGGUAUAGGAUCAUUGAAUUUAAUAUAACAUGUUAAUUAGUAAUGUUUAGUAGCAAUUAAUUUUUUAUGUGUUUAACUGUAUAUUUGUUUUUCAAAAAUUUUUAGUUUUUUUUUAGUUUGAGCAAUUAGAUUUAUAUUUUUAUAAUAAAAUUUUAACUUUUUCAGCUUAAGUUGAUGAAAUUGUGAAGGUGGUGUGGUUGUUUAUCAUGCCACUGAUAAAAGUUUGCUAUUCAAAUAGUUUGUCUUAACUUGAACUCUUUUAUGGAUUUUUUUAAGAGUUGUAAAAGAAUUUCAAUAUUUAAUUUAUUUAUUUUUUGUGUUUUUAUUUGUGAUAAUUGGUGAACAUUUGGAUUGUAUCUAUUUAUGUUUAUAAUGAAUUUAUGAAAACUUGUGGUGAAUUAUGAUAUUUUAAUUAUAUUUAUCAUUCCAUGUUUUAUGUAUAACUUUUAAAAAAUUUAUUAUUAUCAUAACUUAAAUUAAAUUGGUAAAGUUCAAGUGUAGAAUGAAAUCUGCUUAGUACGUAACACUAUUAAAAAAAAAAAAAAGUGAACCUUUGAACAAGUUGGUUGGACUGAUCGAACCGAUCGAACCGCGAAUCGGCCACCUCUCCGGUUCACUGGCCGGUCCGAGUUUAAAAACGUUGGAGACGAGUAAAGUGCAACUGAGGGUAAAAUUAGGGGGUUUGAUGCAUUUAACUCUUACGAAAUAGUGAAUCUUUUUAAGAAACUUUUUCGUACCUUUUUAGUACUACAACACUUUUUUCUAAAUGCGCUAAACUGUUAUGAUCUCAAUGAUGAUCAUACAAUUUGCCUUUUUCAAAUGUUUAAAAAUCACUGAAAACGUCUAAAUGCGCUAAACUGUUAAGAUCUCAGCUCAUAAUUGAUACUACCCCAUUGGCCCUUUGGUAAUAAAAAUAGCUCACAGGUCAUAAGUCACUGCUCAAAGGCAUUUUCGUCCUUUCACAAGGUAAUAAAGACAUUUUGAUUUUUCUUGGCCUCUCUACAGCUCAAGCCCACAAAGGCAGAGUAAGCAAUUUGUUUAGUCAAGGAGCAAGUAAAUAGUAGUGAUGCUCAACCCGUUGCGACUCGUGGGACAGCAGCGUAUCUAGCCGUUACAACACUUCCACCGUCUUCUUCAUUUUUUUUUUCAAUUUUAAAGAAAGGAAAAACUUUUUUCAAACAAACUUGAUCGACCGUUGGUCUCUUUACUCAGUAUACAUCAAGAACUUGACUCUCUCUGAAAUCCAAAGCUGUGAAUUCUCUGCCAAUUAGUAUUGGUUCUGGAAGACAGUAGUGUGAUGGCCAGCGAUCUCGUCUUCACUGAAGAUGAACUUGCGAUUGACGAAGCACUGGGUCACCCAAAAGUUUACGCCAAGCUAUGCAGAGAUAGAAGUUUAGGACCCUAUAGCCAUGGCCCUCCUUUCGCUUUCAUCCCUUUUGCUCUUCCUCAACAGGAGGUAACCAGCUACUGAAGAACUCCUUCCUUCCUUUUCUUUUUUUCUUUUUUUUUUCCCUUUCUUUCCCCCUCUUUUUGGGCUUUGAAUUGAAGGUCUAUUUAAUUGGUGAGAACCCAGAAGAAAUAUAUGAGCUCAACUGAUCUGUUAUAUGAGUUCUUAAUUGUAACUGUUUAAGGUUUCUGGGCUACAAUCUGUCUUUUUAGUUAUAAAUAUUGGGACGAUUUGUAGCCCAAUUUAUGCUGAAGCAUUGCUGUUUCUCUUCAUUUGAAGUCAACUACGACGAAUUUAAUGUUGCUUUGGAUUGACUGCUCGUUUCUUGAAAAAUCAUUUCUGAUAAUACGGUGGUUCUCUCUCAGAACAUCAAUUAGUCGUGUAAUUAUCAGGCACGAAUCACCCCUUUUACGUUGAGAAUUGUUGUUAUGUAUCAAGUCUAAGGGCGGUGGCCUUUUGUCUUGCGUAUUAAUCUCAAAAGUGGGACUCUUACACCAACCACGCAAUCUAAUGCUAUACCUUAAUUAUUGAAAUAUGUUGUGAAUUUCUCUGAUUCUUGCAAGCUGAUGUGCUAACAGGUUGUGAAAGCACAGGAGCUAGAUGAAUUGUUCCCCAUCAUUGACUCGAAAGCAAAGCCAACUACCAAGCCCAAGAUUUUCCUCGGUCUCCUUUGGAAACAACUCAACCACCUUGGGUAAAGAUUGAAACUUUCUUGUUAUUUGUUCGCAUGAAAAAUCUCUGAAAUUUUCCCACAGAAGUUCGUUUCUAACACUUGUUACUAAUUCAAUUAAUCAGAAAUGCUGGUUUGGAUCCUGAAAUAUUUCGUGUUGACCCGUAUGGCAAUGUUCUGUAUUAUCAUGCUGAUGCUGCUUCGCCUCUUGCAUGGGAAAUUGACCAUUGGUUUCCUUUAUCAAGUAAUGAUCUAGUGUUUGCCUAAAUUUUUUCCUACUCCUGACGUGGUCUCGGUCUGUAGAAUUUGAAUCAUUAAUAUUGUUUUAACACAAUAUGCAGGAGGAGGAUUAACAGUAGCUAGCAAUUUAAGGAUUCUGCAGUGGCAAGUGUGCAAGAAGAAGCAUAAUGCACUGGAAUUUCUCAUACCAUGGUGGGAUCUUCAAGUUGGUGUGUCCAUAAAUCAGUUCUUGUCCAUCUUUGCCUCAUCCAAUUCAGAUUUCAGGUUUGUCAUACAUUUCUCUUCGAAGAAAGCAACGUUCAAUUAGCAGAUUUUUCCCUUUUUUUUUAAAUAUAAUUGAUGGUAAUGUUAUUCUUACAUAUACAUUGAUAUAGGCGUAGAGCAUUCUCGUGGUUGUUUGCUGAGGGUGAAAGUGAAGAACUGAAUGCUUGUCAGACAGUUGAUUCACAUUCUUUUCCACAACACUUCAUCGAAUCCAAAAAGAAGGUUGGUCUGGCCCCGGCUGCCGUUGUUCUAUCUCGAAGGGAAUCUAUGGAAGCUUCAUCAGCUUUGAGAUCACUGGACGUCAACAGAAAACCAAGAUCAACAACACCCAUCAUUGGUCGGUAAAGAAAAUACUUCACGAUUUCUUGGUUUUGCACCAUUGAGCUUUACUUUUGCUUAUUUGUUUUCAUGUUGGUUGUGGCAGCUGCAAAAAAAUUAAAGCCUGCUUCCAAAGAAAAUGAAGACCCGGGGAUGAUCAGCAGCAACCCUUACCAGGCCAUUGUAAUUGCCAGGGAUUCUUUGAGGAAGAGAGAAGAAACAGCAAAGAUCCAAGCUGAAUUACAGAAAUUAGAUGUGGAAGUUGAUGAACUGAGGCAGAAGACUGAGGAGGAACAUGUCAGCAUACAAGAUUUGGAGUUGGUGCUGAUAAAAAGAAGACGAAGGGCUGAAAAGUGUCGACGGCUAGCUGAGGCACAAUCUUCAUACAGAGCAAUGCUAGAAAAGAUGAUUCGAGAUGCCAUGCACCAGUAAGAUUAAUAUGGCACAAAUUUUCUUUAAGAGUAGCAUCCUGCUUCGAUUUAUUGGUGAGUUGAGACAUAUAUUUGCAUUUUCCUCUUGCAGGAGUGUUGUUUACAAAGAACAAGUCAGGCUAAAUCAGGCAGCAGCCAACGCACUCAUGGCUAGACUUGAAGCUCAGAAAGCAAUUUGUGAUACAUCAGAGAGGGAACUGCAUAAGAAGUUCAAACAAAGGGACGAGCUAGAAAAACAAGUAAGACCUGAAUGGGUACAGGCAAGGAAGAGAUCAAGAAUGGAUGAUUUUCUUCCUGACGAGGUAGAAAACAAGAUUGUUCUGUAUUUACCUGAAAGUAAGUCAAAGAACAAAAUGCAGAUGGAAAUGAGAAAUGCCUUGCUAGAAAACAAUGCCCUGUAUGUGCAAGGAUUUCAGUCCAAUGGUCCUUUGCACAAGGAACUGAGAAAGUUUUUGGAGGAGGAGCAGAAAGCAUCAGAAGCUGGGUCAUCAUCCUUGAAAGAAAAUGGGGAGCAAGAAGAACUAGGAGAAGAAACCAAAGAAACUGUUCUAAGGACUAGCAUGGAAAAGCACGGGGAGUCUAGAAAUCACAAAGCCAUAGCAGCUGAGCAGAAGUCAAUUGAUGAAAAACUUCAUAACCUGGAAAUAGGGGAGGAUGGGAUGAUAGGUAACAUACGCUUUCCUGCUCAUGAUGCACCAGAAGAUGAGGAGGAUGAAGAGAGCAGAAAGCAACGUGGUAAAGGAAAUGUUGAAAAGUGGCUUCAGAUGCUGAUGGAGAAUGCAGAAGAAGAUGCUGAUUCAUAUCCUCGUGAUGUGAACCAAAAUGAAGGUAACAAGACUGAUGAAAUAAUUAGGAAGCUAGAUCUUGUGUAUCCACAAAAGGAAUUCAAGAUUUCAGAAGCUCAACAAGGGCAGGACCUGGAAUGCGUUGAUGAAAUUGACAGCCAGCAGCAAAUCCCUGUGAAAGGUGGGGGGGAAAGCGAAAAAGAGAUUGUUGAGAUUGAAACUAGGAGGAAGUCAUUUUCGAACACUGGAGAGAUGCAGGGAGAUAAAAAGAAAGGUAUCCUUGAGCUGAAAUCCAGGGACACGCCAAUUAAGAACCCUCCAUACAGAUUAAAACCAGAGAAAAGCAAUGCACAUCAGAUAAGAUCUGAUAACAAAGGAGCAGACAACCAUGAUAACAAUGUUGUAAAUGAAAGGAAGGGGAAGAAUGGUAAGGAAAAGGAACUUGUGAGAUCUGAAAGUGCGAGGAGUUUUAGACGGAUUCCAUCUUCUCCAUCUCUGAUCUUCAGUGGUAUGAAGAAGAGAGUAGAUUGCAUGGGCAAGAAGCCCUUGGUCAUUGGUGAUGAUGCUGAUGGUGAUCAGAGACACAUGGGAGAAAACAACAUCAUCAAGUCAACAAUCAAGACAAUCAAGAGAGUUUUUUAAAACAGUCAAGUUACAUAUUUUACUUGUAUCUUCUCUUCACAUUCUUCGUUUAGAGUGUUAGCUACACUCUGCUACAGCAAUAUGAUUGAUUGGUGAGGUUUGAGUUGUUUGAUUUUGAUUCAUGUGUGCUAAUUAUUUGUUAUGCAAGACAUGCAAUAACAACUUCUUGUUUGAUAGGAUUCAAACACAUUAGCUUUCUGUGUCCGCUACCCUGUGAAGAAAAUUUUAUCUGUGUAUUGCAGUCAAUUAUAUCAUCUGCCAAAAUUUUAAAAGAAAAAGGGAAAUCCAAGUUCAAUGAUGAUUCCCCUUUACCCCCCCCCCUCCCCCGGCACGCUAAUUUCAUGAUGUUUUUAUGAUUUCAUAUCUAUUCAUGUGAAAGACAAUAACUGAUGAUUGGUUAUUGGCAAUAUUUACAGCAGUGUUUCAUGCACAACCAGCUGAUUAGCAAGUGAACAAUAAAAAGUUGUGUACAGCAGUAAAGAAACCUGCUUGAGCGCCUUAUUCGGAACACUUCAUAUGCAACACUAUCCAAACAAGCCACCCGACCCAAACCCAGAGAUUACUGCCCUGUGAAAAGUAUGUUGGACAAAGUAUAAGAAGUCUUUUUCAAAUAAAACAAAGCAUAGACCGGUCAUUUUUCUAUAUCUGGUAAAUUUCUCAUCUUAGCAAAUUUGCCAUUACUACCACAAAAGCCUAUACUCCUCUCUUGUUACAUUGCUAGCUAAACAGUUUUUGCUCUAUCAGAGAUAUACCACUAAGUUAACAACAAACUAUUUCAUGCUAAUAUCACUAUCACUUUCUUUUUGGUAUAAGGACUGUUAAGUGGUACAAGGGGAAGAGAGACGAGGGCCAACGAGUUAAAUUGGGCUCCUCAUGGUGUACAACUGACGUCCCAAGCAGCUAACCUAGUUUUUACUAACAAAUAUUCAACCUAAGCAUCUCAAUUCACUUGACCAACAAAUUCGACGUCUAACAGCAAUACAUUUAGUAGGGCGUCUAGGGAGAACAGUUAGUCUGCUAUCUCAAGCAAUGAACUGCUGAGGCUUUUUCACAAGGCAUGUGUUUGCUCUUCUUCCAAGCGGUAUAGUUGGAUGCAGCUCCAAACGGUCAAACUGUACAUGGUACCCGCUAAAUUUGUUGAUCCAGCGUUUUUCUGAGAAUAAGUGGGAUAUAUUAGAACCUAUCUGAAGCUAAGAAUGGCCCCAAUAACCCUCAUCCCCGCAUGAGCAUUUCCCAUCCUUGAAAUGAUGGAAAUGUUCAGUAUCCCGCACAGAUAUCUCUCUACGAACAACCUUUGAAAUAAACUUUACAGUGCUGUGACAGCUUUGACACAUAUAAAGAUUCUUUGUUAUCCAAAUUGGCAUCCCAGGGACAGUGUUUAUCAGUGCAAAUGCAAUUGCCAAUCUCUCACUAUGUCCACAAAAAACCUCAGCUUUUGAAGCUUCAAGUUCAUUUUCGAAACAGCUCUGAGGCUCAGUAAGACCUUCUGCUCUCAUCUUAACAUAAAAUCCCUCCAGAACUGCAUUAAGUUCUUUUAUUUGAGGGUGGAAAUCGUGACCACUUAGAAAGGCAUGGACUUUGCCCUUUACUUCUACCCAACUACAUCCAGGAUCAACAGUAAUCCCUUUUUCUCUCAUCAUUCUCCUGAGAUGUGCAACAUCAUCCCAUUUACCACACUCAGAGUAGAAAUUGCACAAGAGCAUGUAGUAACCAACACUCUCUUUAUCCAUUUCCACUAUGUGCCUUGCUGCAAGUUCCCCAACAUCAACUUGUCGGUGAAUUCUGCAUGAAUUCAACAAGGCUCCCCAGAUAGCUGCAUCUGCUUUUAUGGGAAUUUUAUGUAUAAAAUCAAGAGCAUCAUUGACCUUCCCUGCACGACCAAGUAAAUCUACCACACAAGCAUAAUGUUUCAAAUUUGGAGCAAUGCAGUAAGCGUCUCUCAUGCUCUCAAAAUAAGUCAAGCCUUCGCUCACCAUGCCCGAUCUACUACAAGCACAUAGAAGAGAUAUAAAAGUAAUUUCAUCUGGCUCAACCUUCGACUGCACCAUUCUAUCAAAUAGCUCCAUGGCCUGCGUACCCUGCCCCCGCUGGGCAUAUCCUGUUAGCAAAAUAUUCCAUGCAGCAACGUCCUGUCUCUGUAUUCUAAAUUGAUUCAAUGCAGGGGCCAUCCUUCCACAUCGCACAUACAUGUCUAGGAGUGCAUUGGGUAGAAAACCGUCAAAUGCCAACCCAUUCCUUAAUACAUGAGAAUGUAUCUCCUUUGCACACAUCAAAGCUCCUAUUCUAGCACAUGCACCAAGAACAGAGAUCAAUGUAACAUCAUUAGGAUUUACACUGAGUUUCAUUUGCCUAAAGAAAAUCAAGGCUUCGAAACUUCUGUUGUUGAUCCGAAGCCCGAGAAUAAUCGAUGUCCAAGAUAUCACGUUCUUGUCAGAUAUCCGAUGAAAGAUCUCCAGGGCCUUAUCAAUGCAUUUGCAUUUCGAAUAAAAAUCAAUAAGAGUGUUCGCAACUAUAACAUAUGAUACAAGACCUGUAGUCUUGGCAAGCUCAUGAAGCCUAACACCCAUGUCGAAAAGACUCAAAGAAGUACAUGCAGACAAAACACUGGCGAUGGUGAUCUCAUCUGGCAUAAUACCAUGUAGCUCCAUCGUUUUAUAAGUUUCAACAGCCUUCUCAGGCAAACUAUUACUCUCAUAAGCAGAAAUCAUUGCUGUCCAAGAAACCACAUCUUUUAACUCAAUCCUGUUAAAAACUUUUUCAGCUUCCUCCCACUUCCCAACACUUGAGUACAUCUGAAUCAAUGUGUUAUCCACCGCAACAUCAACCCCAAACUCAGUCUUUACCACAUAUCCAUGCAGAGCCCUACCAAACCUCUCAUCACCAAGAACCUCAGAUGCCGAGAUCACGCUAGUCAUUGUCAUCAAAUCCGGGUUAAUACAAUACUCCCGCAUCAAAAAGAACAACCUCAACCCCUCAAAACAUUCACCAUUCUCAAAAUACCCUGAAAUCAUUGCAUUCCAUGAUAUCCUGUCUCUCCUAAGCAUUCCAUCAAACACCAUUCUCGCACUACCCAAAUCAUGACAUUUUACAUACAUAGUAAUCAAAGCGUUAACCACAUCAACAUCUGAUAUAAAUCCAAACCUAAUUACAUGAUCAUGAAUUUCUCUACCCCUACUCCAAUCCCCCAUACCCCCACAAGUUCUUAAAACACAGGGGAAAGUAAAAACAUCAGGCCUAUAACCAGCCCACAACAUCUUAUGAUACAAAUCCAAUGCCUCAUCAAAAUAUCCAUUUUUGGCAUAGCCACCAAUCAAAACAUUCCAAGAAAACACAUCUCUGUCCUCCAUUUUACCAAACACAUACCAGGCAUCACUCAAGUUCCCCAACUUCACAAACAUGCUCAACAACGCAUUUCCUAACCUUAAACUCAACUGGGACCUAAAGCUUAGAAUAUGCUCAUAUAUUACACCCCCUUCAUUUAACGCCCUCUUAAAUUCACACAACCUAAUUAAAGAAAUAAAUGUUUCUUCAUCUAUAUUACUUUGUGGGUCUUUUGGUAAAGUGUUUAGGAAGGUUACGGCUUGGUCUAGCUGGUUUUGGAGGCAAAGUUGGGUGAGGUGUGAGUUGGGGUCAGCAGUUGGGUGGACUGCGGAGCUAAGGAGUGAACUGCGGGUUCUUCUGAGGGGAAAUUGAUGCGCUUUCUGUGUACUGUUUGAGAAAAUUAGGGACUUGGAGGUCUGAAAGUUGGAGACUUGGGGAUUGAGUAGGUCAGAGUGGAGAGAAAUGGACGGGGUUUUAACAGACACCGCCAUUUGUGGAGCUGCAGAAGCAGAGCAUUGUUGGUGUGAUAGUUUCGAGUGGGGGUUUUGGCUGAGGUUUAACGGCUAAGACAUGCUGCCGGGUAAUUGGAUAAUGUACAGCAUAGAUUGAUGACAAAACGACCCCGUCUGCAGCAACCAAAUUUAAUAUUUGCGAGCUAAAGAGUUUCUCCCUUGCUCUUUUUGCUUGUACUUAAAUGCCUUGUUAGCAACUGAUUUUAUAUAAGUUUUGACAAGAAAUUAGCUCUUUUUAUGGUAGAAUGACAUGACAUUAUGGUUUUGAUCAGGAUAAGCCAAAUUGAAAUGAGGAUGCUACGCUGCUCUGAACUCCUGCGCCUCCUCAGAAAUAAAAAUUUCUAAAAUCAGACAAAAUAGUGCCGUUUAAAAAUAUUGAUAGAAUCACAAUGUGCAAACCAUUAUCGUGUUUUGCCAAUGGAAACUGAUAGCAACUGUAAAAUUCUGGAACUUUUGCCAAUAACUUGUUGAAUAUCUACAGGAUAAAGGCAGAGAAACUUUUCUACUCUAAGUAGUUUCGGGAAAAUGUCGUCGACUUCGCAACUUACAACAGGUCGAACAGUGAAAAAAUGAAGAGAAAUCAGGAAAAUCAGGGUAUUUAUUAUCCUCCAGAAGUGAACAUUUUAAGUUACCGAAUGACACUUGAAAAUCUAAACAUAUUAAUGUUAUACAAUUACAAAGCAUUAUUGAGAAAUCCAACAUAUUAGAAUCCAUUUUCAACCUCAAUCUCAAGACAGAGAAUUCCUCCAUUUGGGUGGUUUUUUGCCUUUGACAAGCCUAGUCUUGACAUCAACAGGAGUUUGUCUUCCA
rnacentral:lncRNA from 1 species